UUGGCUGAUUUCUCUGCCCGUUUAAUAAAUUACCGUGUUUAUGACGUUCUGGCACCAGUCUCGCAGGAGAUUGCGAAGUGUAGCAUCAAACUCAGUCUUUGGGAAAACAACAAUGAGGGAGAUUCUUCAUUUACAAGCAGGACAGUGUGGCAACCAGAUCGGUGCCAAGUUCUGGGAAGUAAUCUGUGACGAGCAUGGGAUUGACCCAACAGGCAGUUACCAUGGUGACAGUGAUCUUCAGCUGGGAAGAAUUGAUGUUUACUUCAAUGAAGCUACUGGUGGGAAAUAUGUCCCCCGUGCUGUGCUGGUGGAUUUGGAGCCGGGUACCAUGGACUCUGUGAGGUCUGGACCAUACGGACAAAUCUUUCGGCCAGACAACUUUGUUUUUGGAAAGAGUGGUGCUGGUAAUAACUGGGCCAAGGGCCACUACACAGAAGGUGCUGAGCUGGUGGACUCUGUAUUGGAUGUGGUGCGUAAGGAGGCUGAGAACUGCGACUGCCUGCAGGGUUUCCAGCUUACUCACUCCCUGGGUGGGGGUACUGGGUCAGGCAUGGGCACCCUGCUCAUCAGCAAAAUCCGAGAGGAGUACCCUGACCGCAUUAUGAACACCUUCAGCAUUGUCCCCUCUCCCAAAGUAUCCGAUACAGUGGUGGAGCCUUACAAUGCCACCCUGUCAAUUCACCAGCUGGUGGAAAACACAGAUGAGACAUUUUGCAUCGACAACGAAGCUCUGUACGACAUCUGUUUCCGCACCCUGAAGCUCACGACUCCAACAUACGGUGAUCUCAACCAUUUGGUCUGUGCCACCAUGAGUGGAGUCACAACAUGUCUGCGGUUUCCUGGGCAGCUCAAUGCUGACCUGCGUAAGCUGGCUGUCAACAUGGUGCCUUUCCCUCGUCUCCACUUCUUUAUGCCUGGUUUUGCCCCACUGACCAGCAGGGGUAGCCAGCAAUACCGUGCCCUCACCGUGGCUGAAUUAACCCAGCAGAUGUUUGAUGCCAAGAACAUGAUGGCCGCUUGUGACCCACGUCACGGCCGCUACCUCACGGUGGCUGCCAUUUUCCGUGGCCGCAUGUCCAUGAAGGAGGUGGAUGAGCAGAUACUCAAUAUGCAGAACAAGAACAGCAGCUACUUUGUCGAAUGGAUCCCUAACAAUGUGAAGACUGCUGUGUGUGACAUCCCACCCCGUGGCCUAAAAAUGGCUUCCACCUUCAUCGGCAACAGCACUGCUAUCCAGGAGCUGUUCAAGCGCAUCUCCGAGCAGUUCACAGCCAUGUUCAGACGCAAGGCUUUCCUGCACUGGUACACAGGUGAAGGUAUGGAUGAGAUGGAGUUCACUGAAGCUGAGAGCAACAUGAAUGACCUGGUGUCAGAGUACCAGCAGUACCAGGAAGCAACUGCUGAAGAUGAAGGAGAGGUUGAGGAGGAAGGAGAAGAGGAGCAGGCUUAAACAAUGUUCUUCACUAUCCUGUAACCUUAAAGUUCUGGGAAGUCAUUUGUAACAAGCAUGGGAUUGACCCUACUGGUGGUUACGCCAUGGUGACAGUAAUCUUCAGCUGGAAAGAAUUAAUAUCUACUACAGUGAAGCUACUGGUGGCUAAUAUAUCCCCCAGUGCUGUGCUAGUGGAUUUGAAGCUGGGAACUAUAGACUCUGAAGUCUGGACUAUACAGGCAGAUUUUCAGGCUGGACAACAUUUUGUUUUUGGUGUUUUCUGCUUCCUGUUGCUCUGUAUGUAUGAUGGUUAUGCUCUGGUACAAAGGUGAAGAGAUGGAGUUCACUGAAGCAGAGAGCAACAUGAAUGACCUGUUGUUGGAGUGCCAGGAUGCAACUGCUGAAGAGGUUGAGGAGGAGGAAAAGGAGCAGGUUUAAAUAUAAAAUGUCAUUGUCUGUUUAAUACCAAUAAAACAUGCACUUAAUAA